rnacentral:ribozyme from 13 species
UUUUCCUGUUUCUUUUUUUUCAAGUUUUUUCAUGGUUUUUUUUCUUUGCGUCUCUCUCUCUGGAAGAAAACAGUGCUGGCUGAGUUGCCAGCCAACGAAAAAAAUUGGGCUGGGAUAAGUAAGAGAUUACGGAUUCAAAGCGGGCCACAAAACAUCUA